AAACUUUCAACAACGGAUCUCUUGGCUCUCGCAUCGAUGAAGAACGCAGCGAAUUGCGAUAAGUAAUGUGAAUUGCAGAAUUCAGUGAAUCAUCGAAUCUUUGAACGCACCUUGCGCCCCUUGGUAUUCCGAGGGGCAUGCCUGUUUGAGUGUC
rnacentral:rRNA from 1 species